rnacentral:rRNA from 1 species
GAUCCCUCCGUAGGGGGACCUGCGGAAGGAUCAUUAACAUUAAUUUACUACACACUGUUUUUUUACAACUAAACAAAUCUAUCUAAAAAACAAUUCUUUACAAGAAAUUCUUAAAACUUUCAACAACGGAUCUCUUGGUUCUCGCAUCGAUGAAGAACGCAGCGAAAUGCGAUACGUAAUACGAAUCGCAGCUCUCGGAAUCAUCGAAUCUUUGAACGCACAUUGCACCAUUGGGUAUUCCCAAUGGUAUGCUUGUUUGAGCGAAUACUUCCCUAAUCCUCACGGAUUGUAUUGUGUUUGCACGAAAAUAAUGACGACAGUACUCUACAAAACGGUACCGUCAGUACACUCAUUUUUUUUCCUCAAAUCAAGUAGGACUACCCGCUGAACUUAAGCAUAUCAAAAGGCGGGAGGAA